GAAUGGAAUAUGGAGUGUAAAAAAUGAAUUACAAAUAAAAUUAAAUUAAAAAUUAAAAAGAUUUAUUUUUUAUGUAUAUGAGUACACUGCAGCUGUCUUCAGACACACCAGAAGAGGGCAUCUAGUCCCAUUAAAGAUGGUUGUGAACUAUCACAUGGUUGCUGGAAAUUGAACUUAUUAGGACCUUUGGCAGAGCACUCAGUGCUCUUAACCACUGAGCCAUCUCUCCAGCCCAGAAGUAGAAGUAUUUUAUACUUACUCUCGCUCUCUUUUUUAAAAAAGAUUUAUUUAUUUAUUUAUUUUAUGUAUACGGGUACACUGUAGUUGUACAGAUGGUUAUGAGCCUUCAUGUGCUUGUUAGGAAUUGAAUUUUUAGGACCUCUGCUCGCUCCAGUUGACCCUGCUUGCUCUGGCCCAAAGAUUUACUUAUAAGUACACUGUAGCUGUCUUCAGACAUAGCAGAAGAGAGCGUCAGAUCUCAUUCCAGAUGGGUUGUGAGCUACCAUGUGGUUGCUGAGAUUUGAACUCAGGACCUCUGGAAGAGCAGUCAGUGCUCUUACCUGCUGAGCCAUCUCUCCAGCCCUAUACUUACUCCUCUGCCAAGUAGAAUAUUAAAAAGACAUGAGUGUGAGCUAGAGCACGGCUGUGGGGUGAAGAGCACGUGUUCAUGAGUGUGAGCUGGAGCACGGCUGUGGGUGAAGAGCACGUGUUCUUGCAGAACCUGGAUCUGAUUCCCAGGGCCCACAUGGAAGUUUACAGCUAUCCAUAACUCUAGCUCCAUGGCGCCUACAUUCUCUUCUGCUUUCUAUAAGCACCAGGCAUGCACAUUCACAGACUUACACUUAAGCAGAACACCCAUACAUUAAGUAAACAAGCAAACAAAGAAGCAGUGCUUCUUAAAGAAAGGUGUGAAUAUGUUUGAUGUGAUGGUUUAUGUCUGUAAUCACGCUGCUUGAGAGGCUGAGGCAGGAGGAUUACUGUGCAUUCCAGGAUAGCUUGGGUAACUGUUUCAAACAGUCAGAGGGGGU
rnacentral:lncRNA from 1 species